CCCCUGGUGGUCUAGUGGUUAGGAUGUGGCGCUCACAAUACCACGGUCUGGGUUCAAUUCCCAGUCAGGGGA